AACGCAAACGGCGCCCGAGGCCUAGGCCAAGGGCAUGGCUGGCUCAGCGUCGACGUACCUUCUCGCUCACGGCGGAUUGUGGUUCCCCCGACCCGGAGAAGGGGUCGGGCGAACUGAAACGGACGUCCCUCCAUGCCCCGACUCCAGUGAUCCGGAAGUAUACCUUCGUAGCCGAGGUAGAUUGCCUUUCGUUGUGCCGGGCUGUGCCAUACUCGGGACAGGAGCAGCGGGAGGAGGAGCGCAGGGAGCACGCCACGUUUUGGACCUGAGCUCAGGCAAGAACACCCGCUGAACUUAA
rnacentral:misc_RNA from 1 species